rnacentral:Y_RNA from 1 species
GCCUGGUAUAAGUGCAACGGUGUUUACAACGAAUUCUUCACAACCAGUCACAUACUUUGUUCCUUCUCUACUCCCACCGCUUCAUUUGACUGGCCUUAA